rnacentral:tRNA from 1 species
GCCGAAGUGGUGGAAUUGGCAGACACGCCAGACUUAGGAUCUGGUGCCUUGCGGCGUGGGAGUUCGAGUCUCCCCUUCGGUACCA